AUUGAACGCUGGCGGCAUGCCUUACACAUGCAAGUCGAACGGCAGCAUGAUCUAGCUUGCUAGAUUGAUGGCGGGUGGCGAACGGGUGAGUAAUACAUCGGAACGUGCCCUGUAGUGGGGGAUAACUAGUCGAAAGAUUAGCUAAUACCGCAUACGACCUGAGGGUGAAAGUGGGGGACCGCAAGGCCUCAUGCUAUAGGAGCGGCCGAUGUCUGAUUAGCUAGUUGGUGAGGUAAAGGCUCACCAAGGCGACGAUCAGUAGCUGGUCUGAGAGGACGAUCAGCCACACUGGGACUGAGACACGGCCCAGACUCCUACGGGAGGCAGCAGUGGGGAAUUUUGGACAAUGGGCGAAAGCCUGAUCCAGCAAUGCCGCGUGUGUGAAGAAGGCCUUCGGGUUGUAAAGCACUUUUGUCCGGAAAGAAAUGGCUCUGGUUAAUACCUGGGGUCGAUGACGGUACCGGAAGAAUAAGGACCGGCUAACUACGUG
rnacentral:rRNA from 1 species